rnacentral:rRNA from 1 species
UACGUAGGGGCCUAGCGUUGUCCGGAUUUAUUGGGCGUAAAGAGCUCGUAGGCGGUUCGGUAAGUCAGGGGUGAAAUCUCCACGCUCAACGUGGAGGCGCCACCUGAAACUGCCGUGACUCGAGUCCGGUAGGGGAGUGUGGAAUUCCCGGUGUAGCGGUGAAAUGCGCAGAUAUCAGGAGGAACACCGAUGGCGAAGGCAGGUCUCUGGGCCACUACUGACGCUGAGAAGCGAAAGCAUGGGGAGCGAACAGG